GCAUGGAAAUGGAUUUAUGAUGGUCUCUUCUCUGUGGGCCUCUCAUAGUACACCCAUGCCAAAGUAAACUGCAGCCUUGAACCAUUGCCCAGCCUCCUUGCUUUUGGGCUGUGAGCACUGAAGGGGGUUGUACAGUG